GCCCGGGUGGUGGAAUUGGCAGACACAGGGGAUUUAAAAUCCCCCGGCCAAAUGCGGCUGUGCGGGUUCGAGUCCCGCCCCGGGUA
rnacentral:tRNA from 1 species